rnacentral:ncRNA from 1 species
CUCAUCGAGACCGGUCGAGGGAUAGGCCCGACGACUCCGGGGCAACCUUCAGAACUAACCAUUCUGAAAAGGUGCCAACUCCUGCGAUGCUCUACUCAGUUUUUUGAGGGCAUCGAAUGAUGAG